GAGAGUAGGCGCAGGCAGUUGCAGCCAGCUUUUACAGCUGGUCUGAGGAAAGUCUGGACUCCCGAAAGACCAAACUUGCUGGGUAACGCCCAGUGCGAGCGAUCGUGAGGAUAGUGCCACAGAAAGAUACCGCCAAUGCUAGGGAGUAGGGAGUAGGGAGUAGGGAGUAGGGAAAAACCCUCAACCCUCAGCCCUCAGCCCUCACUCCUCAUUUGGUAAGGGUGCAAAGGUGCGGUAAGAGCGCACCAGCAGCAUCGAGAGGUGCUGGCUCGGUAAACCCCGGUUGGGAGCAAGGUCGGAGGAACUACGGUUGGUCUUUUACCAGUUCCGCAAUUGGUGUACCGCUAGAGGUGUCUGGUAACAGGCAUCCCAGAUAGAUAACUGCCUUCUGUAUGUAGAGAUGCGAUCGCGUUGAUGCAGCAGAAAACAGAAUCCAGCUUAUGUCCUGCUCUCUCAG
rnacentral:RNase_P_RNA from 1 species